GGCGUAAUAGAACAGUGGUUAGUUCAGCUGGCUUUCAACCAACUAACAGGGGUUCAAUUCCCCUUUACGCCACCA
rnacentral:tRNA from 1 species